GCCCCUGUAACUCACCGGGUGAGAGUAGCAAGCUCAUAACUUGUUAGGCAGGGUUCGAGUCCCUGAAGGGGUACCA
rnacentral:tRNA from 1 species